CUGCGGAGGGAUCAUUACGGGGUUAUCCAGCUCCCAAACCCAUGUGAACAUAUCUCUUUGUUGCCUCGGCGCAAGCUACCCGGGACCUCGCGCCCCGGGCGGCCCGCCGGCGGACAAACCAAACUCUGUUAUCUUCGUUGAUUAUCUGAGUGUCUUAUUUAAUAAGUCAAAACUUUCAACAACGGAUCUCUUGGUUCUGGCAUCGAUGAAGAACGCAGCGAAAUGCGAUAAGUAAUGUGAAUUGCAGAAUUCAGUGAAUCAUCGAAUCUUUGAACGCACAUUGCGCCCAUUAGUAUUCUAGUGGGCAUGCCUGUUCGAGCGUCAUUUCAACCCCUAAGCACAGCUUAUUGUUGGGCGUCUACGUCUGUAGUGCCUCAAAGACAUUGGCGGAGCGGCAGCAGUCCUCUGAGCGUAGUAAUUCUUUAUCUCGCUUCUGUUAGGCGCUGCCCCCCCGGCCGUAAAACCCCCAAUUUUUUCUGGUUGACCUCGGAUCAGGUAGGAAUACCCGCUGAACUUAAGCAUAUCAA
rnacentral:rRNA from 1 species